GACGAACCGUGCAAGCGUUAUUCGGAAUCACUGGGCAUAAAGGGCGCGUAGGCGGCUUUCUAAGUCAGGGGUGAAAUCCGGCAGCUCAACUGUCGCAGUGCCUUUGAUACUGGAGAGCUCGAGGGAGGUAGGGGUCUGUGGAACUUCCGGUGGAGCGGUGAAAUGCGUUGAUAUCGGAAGGAACGCCGGUGGCGAAAGCGACGGACUGGAUCUCAUCUGACGCUGAGGCGCGAAAGCCAGGGGAGCAAACGGG
rnacentral:rRNA from 1 species